rnacentral:misc_RNA from 1 species
CGUAUAUGCUCUUGGAAAGUGGAGUUCAUGUCCCAUUAGUUUCUUUUGAAUACCAUGUGAGCCUGUAGCUCUUGUAAAUCGUCUGCAUUAACAAACUAAUAGUAAUUUCAGAUAAAAGUCUGAGUAUGUGAUUGUAAUUGUAAUUAAAAAUCUGUGAUUUGAAUUGCUUAAUGUUGAGAUGCAGGGAGCCCUAAACGCCUUGGAGAAUCCUUCUUUAUGGGCUUUAUGAAAGACUACACUCAUGGGUUUGACAUCAUAUCCAAUCCAAAACCUUAAGGCAAUGUGUUUGAGUCUUUCCCACUUAUACGCCCUUUACUUAUUCCAUCUCUUUCCAAUGAGAUAAUUUUAUUCCCACACAACUCGCAGCUCACACUUAUCCCAUCGCUUUCCAAUGUGGGAAUCUUAUUCUCACACAACUCACAACUUACACUUAUAUAUUCUCAAUGCUUACAUUAUGAUCAUUGAUUAUAAUUAUGAAAAGGGCCUAAAGGUUUUUUUUUUU